CUGUGCUGUUGUACUGAUUUUCAGUUACUUCAUUUUUUUUUACGUUCAAGUACAUGUUUAUCAUCAAACCGAUUACGAUGAGGAAGACUGGGAACAUAUGUGUUGUUUUGGCUUGCAUGUUAGCAUACAUUCACUGUAGUUGCCAAUUGAUAAAACCAAAAGAUUGCAUUUUCAAUGGGGAAAUAGUCAAAGAUGGCUCUUCGUUCCCAGGUGCAGAUCAGUGUGAAACCUGCAGCUGUAGUGAGGGAGAGAUUUCCUGUUGCGGGUUUGGGCAAUCGAUUAGAUAUCUUGGAGAUGGUUGUAAAACUAUUCAAGUGGAACCAUGUUGGGAGGAAGCUGUACUAGAAUCAGAUGAAAGUAAACCUUGUCCUUCAUUUUCUGCUGUACCAAUGGGUCGAAAAUAAUCUUGACAACAACUUGAUUAUUCGUAAUGAAUUAAAAUGUUCUAAUAAA